rnacentral:rRNA from 1 species
CCCUUAGAUGUUCUGGGCCGCACGCGCGCUACACUGACGAAUGCAACGAGCUUAUAACCUUGGCCGAAAGGUCUGGGUAAUCUCCAAAUUUCGUCGUGAUGGGGAUAGGUUAUUGCAAUUAUUAAUCUUCAACGAGGAAUGCCUAGUAAGCGCAAGUCAUCAGCUUGCGUUGAUUACGUCCCUGCCCUUUGUACACACCGCCCGUCGCUCCUACCGAUUGAAUGGUCCGGUGAAGCGUUCGGACCGUGGCCUUUGGACGGUUCGCCGUCUGUUGGCUGCGGGAAGUUCGUUAAACCUUAUCAUUUAGAGGAAGGAGAAGUCGUANCA